GCUUAACACAAAGAAACCCUACCCUAUCACUAUAUUGCGACGACAGACCCCUUCCCCCCUUUUUGUCGACGCCCCUUUUCCUUUAGAGAUUGUUCUUCGUGCCAAGCUCUAUUAGUAUCUUGAUUUUCGGUUUGUUGAUUUCUCUUUUUAAUUGCUUUGAUCCCCUAUUAUAGUUGAUUUCUUGAAUGAGUAAUGAUUAAUGUGUUAUAUGUGAUCUCUUGGAUAAUUAGGGAGUAAUAUACUGCAUAUGUUCUUUUGAAUAUAUGUAGUGAUGAAUCUGUAGCAUGGACCAAGACUUUUGAUGUUAUAACUUGAUGAUUUGUUUGGAACUAGCAGUUGAUUAGAAGUUAAAACAUGUGACUCUAAUCUCUUAACCCAUCACACAUCUUAAUUUGUUCUUCUUGGUAUCGUAAUGCCUGUUUAAGCAUGAAUUAUAUAUUUUGUGAAAAUAAUAAACAAACAAAUUAAUAGAAAUUAUAUAUAUUAUUAACGUUUCAAACAAAUUUAAAUAUAAAAUUACAACUAUUCAAGUUGUUAACAAUAAGUGCCUGUGUGAAUAUUUACUUUUCUUAAUUUUCUUUGACUUUUCUAAUCUUUUUUAAUAUCCUUAAUAAAUCGAGAUUUUCUCUCAUAGAUGACAUAUUUUUUAGUUGUAAGUACACCUCAUAUUCAAACUCUUUUAAGUUUUGGUGAUUAUAAUUAUCUUUGGAUUCUUGGCUACUUUCUUGCUAGUCUUUAUAUUUAGUUGCACUUUGUAACUAUUCACCCACUUCAUCUUUGUAAAUGAACUGA
rnacentral:lncRNA from 1 species